rnacentral:rRNA from 1 species
GUAUUAGAUAUGGUCUUGAAACUCAAAGAAUUUGGCGGUGUUUUAGUCCUUUCAGAGGAACCUGUCCCGUAAUCGAUAAUCCACGUUAUAUCUUACUUGAUUUUGUGAUCAGCUUGUAUACCGCCGUCGUCAGAAUGUCCUUAAAGGGAAAAAUUUUCUUAAAUUUAAAUUGAAAAUUAUGUCAGGUCAAGGUGCAGUUUAUGGUCAAGAGGUGAUGGGUUACAAUAAAUGUAUUUAUAUGGAUAGUUAGUUGAAAUGAAUAAAUUAGAAGGUGGAUUUGAUGGUAAUAUAAAUAAUUAAGUUUAUUUGAUUUUGGCUCUAAAAUAUGCACACAUCGCCCG